rnacentral:rRNA from 1 species
UACGUAGGGCGCAAGCGUUGUCCGGAAUUAUUGGGCGUAAAGAGCUCGUAGGCGGUCUGUCGCGUCGGAUGUGAAAGCCCGGGGCUUAACCCCGGGUCUGCAUUCGAUACGGGCAGACUAGAGUGUGGUAGGGGAGAUCGGAAUUCCUGGUGUAGCGGUGAAAUGCGCAGAUAUCAGGAGGAACACCGGUGGCGAAGGCGGCAUCCUGGACCGAAACUGACACUGAGGCGCGAAAGCCAGGGAGCAAACGGG